GAUGAACGCUGACAGAAUGCUUAACACAUGCAAGUCAACUUGAACUUCGGUUCGGGUGUCGGACGCGUGAGUGACGCGUAAAGAACUUGCCUCACAGCUAGGGACAACAUUUGGAAGCGAAUGCUAAUACCUGAUAUUAUGAUUUUAGGGCAUCCUAGCAUUAUGAAAGUUAUAUGCGCUGUGAGAGAGCUUUGCGUCCCAUUAGCUAGUUGGAGAGGUAACGGGUCACCAUGGCGAUGUUGGGUGGCGGUCCUGGGAGGGUGAACGGCAACAAGGGAACUGAGAAACGGCCCUUACUCCUCCGGGAGGAGGAAGGGGGGAUUAUUGGACAAUGGCGGAAGAGUCAGACCGAGAAGUUCCGUGUGGGAUAUGAAGUUUUUCGGAAUGUAAAGUGCUUUCAGUUGAGAAGAAAAAAAUGACGGUAACAAGAAAAGAAGUGACGGCUAAAUACGUG
rnacentral:rRNA from 1 species